rnacentral:tRNA from 1 species
GCCUUCGUGGUGUAGUGGUUAACACACUCGGCCCGCAUUCGAUAGGUCUGUGGUUUAAAUCCCGGCUAGGGCA